rnacentral:rRNA from 1 species
GAUGAACGCUGGCGGCGUGCCUAAUACAUGCAAGUCGAGCGAACAGACGAGGAGCUUGCUCCUCUGACGUUAGCGGCGGACGGGUGAGUAACACGUGGAUAACCUACCUAUAAGACUGGGAUAACUUCGGGAAACCGGAGCUAAUACCGGAUAAUAUAUUGAACCGCAUGGUUCAAUAGUGAAAGACGGUUUUGCUGUCACUUAUAGAUGGAUCCGCGCCGCAUUAGCUAGUUGGUAAGGUAACGGCUUACCAAGGCAACGAUGCGUAGCCGACCUGAGAGGGUGCACGCCCACCCGGAAACGGAGACCCGGCCCAGACCCCAGGGGGGGGCAGCAGGGGGAAAUCUGCCGAAAGGGGGAAAAGUUGGACGGAGAAACGCCGGGUGAGUGAAGAGGUUUUGGGGAUCGAAAAACUUUUUUAUUGGGAAAAAAAAAAUGUGUAAGUAACUAUGCACGUUUUGACGGUACUAAAUAAAAAACCCCGGGCUAACUACG